rnacentral:rRNA from 1 species
CUUCGGUUGAUCCCGCCGGAGGUUACUGCUAUCUGUGUUCGACUAAGCCAUGCAAGUCAUAUGUUCCUCGUGAACAUGGCAUACUGCUCAGUAACACGUGGAUAACCUGCCCUUGGGUCUGGGAUAACCCCGGGAAACUGGGGAUAAUAUCGGAUAACGCAUAUGUGCUGGAAUGCUUUAUGCGUAAAACGGAUUCGUCCGCCCAAGGAUGGGUCUGCGGCCUAUCAGGUAGUAGUGGGUGUAAUGUACCUACUAGCCAACAACGGGUACGGGUUGUGAGAGCAAGAGCCCGGAGAUGGAUUCUGAGACAUGAAUCCAGGCCCUACGGGGCGCAGCAGGCGCGAAAACUUUACAAUGCGGGAAACCGUGAUAAGGGAACACCGAGUGCCAGCAUCAUAUGCUGGCUGUCCAGAUGUGUAAACUACAUCUGUUAGCAAGGGCCGGGCAAGACCGGUGCCAGCCGCCGCGGUAACACCGGCGGCCCGAGUGGUGACCGUUAUUAUUGGGUCUAAAGGGUCCGUAGCCGGUUUGGUCAGUCCUCCGGGAAAUCUGAUAGCUUAACUGUUAGGCUUUCGGGGGAUACUGCCAGGCUUGGAACCGGGAGAGGUAAGAGGUACUACAGGGGUAGG